rnacentral:rRNA from 1 species
GUAGGUGGCAAGCGUUGUCCGGAAUUAUUGGGCGUAAAGCGCGCGCAGGUGGUUCUUUAAGUCUGAUGUGAAAGCCCCCGGGCUCAACCGGGGAGGGUCAUUGGAAACUGGGGAACUUGAGUGCAGGAGAGGAAAGUGGAAUUCCACGUGUAGCGGUGAAAUGCGUAGAUAUAUGGAGGAACACCAGUGGCGAAGGCGACUUUCUGGCCUGUAACUGACACUGAGGCGCGAAAGCGUGGGGAGCAAACAGGAUUAGAUACCCUGGUGGUCCACGCCGUAAACGAUGAGUGCUAAGUGUUGGGGGGUUUCCGCCCCUCAGUGCUGCAGCUAACGCAUUAAGCACUCCGCCUGGGGAGUACGGUCGCAAAGACUG